GACGAACGCUGGCGGCGUGCUUAACACAUGCAAGUCGAACGCUGAACCCGCUUCGGUGGGGGAUGAGUGGCGAACGGGUGAGUAACACGUGGGCAACCUGCCCCCGGCUCUGGGAUAACUCCAAGAAAUUGGGGCUAAUACCGGAUGUGACCGCUGGCCGCAUGGUCUGGUGGUGGAAAGGGUUUCCGGCUGGGGAUGGGCCCGCGGCCUAUCAGCUUGUUGGUGGGGUAGUGGCCUACAAAGGCGACGACGGGUAGCCGGCCUGAGAGGGUGACCGGCCACACUGGGACUGAGACACGGCACAGACUCCUACGGGAGGCAGCAGUGGGGAAUAUUGCGCAAUGGGCGGAAGCCUGACGCAGCGACGCCGCGUGGGGGAUGACGGCCUUCGGGUUGUAAACCUCUUUCAGCAGGGACGAAGCGCAAGUGACGGUACCUGCAGAAGAAGCACCGGCCAACUACGUG
rnacentral:rRNA from 1 species